rnacentral:rRNA from 1 species
UACGUAGGGUGCAAGCGUUGUCCGGAAUUAUUGGGCGUAAAGAGCUCGUAGGCGGUUUGUCGCGUCUGCUGUGAAAACCCGGGGCUCAACUCCGGGCCUGCAGUCGAUACGGGCUGGCUUGAGUGCGGUAGGGGAGACUGGAAUUCCUGGUGUAGCGGUGAAAUGCGCAGAUAUCAGGAGGAACACCGGUGGCGAAGGCGGGUCUCUGGGCCGUAACUGACGCUGAGGAGCGAAAGCGUGGGGAGCGAACAGG